UUUUACUCUUUCACUUUUUUUUUUCUUUUUGGUAAACAACAAUACUCAGCGACAAACAUCAGCAGAAAGCAGCAGAGACUGAGAAAAUGUUCAAAGUGUUCAGUGGCAGUGGGAAGAGGAACAACAAAGAUUUACAGCAGAGAGGGAUAACAUCUGCAGAGUAAACCUCACUGAGAGGGAUAACAUCUGCAGAGUAAACCUCACUGAGAUGGAAUUCCUAAUUAAAGAAAAAAUGAAAACAAAGAAGGAUUGUCAGGAAACAAAUGCUGUCCUGCUAAACAUGCUCAGGAAGUUGAGGGAUAUAGAGGUAGAGCACCAUGGCUGCAGCCAGAUGCUGAGGCUCCAGGCCAACCAUCUGGAUUUCAAGGAAAAACGUCAGGAGAGACUCAUCAGGGAACUGGAGGUAAAGCUUUCCCUGCUGCUGGGAGUCUCAGCAAGCAUGGGUACAAGUGAUCACUUUCAUUUCUGAGGGUUGGAACCUCUGAGUUGGGCUAUGUAUGCCUUGUGUUUGAUUAACAAAAUGUGGAGCGUCAGUUUUGUAGGAAAGGCAAAAGCUGGUGUUUGAGCAGCAGAUGGGAAGAGGUUUAUGUCACUGGGAAAAUACUCUUAUAGAGGUAUAGGGGAAAUAUUUGUGUAGGAUUUGUGAAUUUUAUUUUUUUUUAAUUAAGCUUGUUAAGUAGUUAAAUCUUGUGGGAGGAGGCAAUGCUUAAGCCUUUUGGCUGAUGUUGUGGAGUAGGUUUGGUAAGCUCUGUGCUGUUGCUGAUUUUCUCUUUAAUACGACUUCCACAGAUCUCUGUUUCUCAAUUAUUUUCUUUUUGUGAAUGUGAGAGAUUACACAGAGUUUAAAUUUAUUGCCAACAACCCGUAUUUUAAAAUUUUUGCUUAUUUUUCUGUGAAUGUUUCCCUACUGAGGUGCUUAGAGCCAAGAUUCAGUAUCACAUGCUUGCUACUUUGCUUUAGCUGGCCAAAAUCAAUGACUUCACUUGUAUAUAUGUAACCUUAAGUGUCUUAAAUGACUGCUGGAGUCUGAGACACAGAGUGUGUGCCCUUGUUUCUGAUACUUAGCUCUAAGAUCCAGAAAAACACUGAAUUUCAUAUAAUAUGAAAUUCAUGAGCAUGUUUUCAUGGUGAUGAAACAUAUGAAAACAACUGUAAAAGUUAGAUAGAAAAAGCUAAAAGUGUGAGAGUGUAGAUUAGAGAGUUUUCUUAAGUCAAUGGGUGAAAAAGUUAGUUUAGAUUUUAAGUUAAUUUACAAAGCAGAAGGCAAGAUGGAGGAUUUAGAAUGUUGUUUCUUUUCCUUCUUUCUUCUUCAUGUUCUUCUUCUAGAGGUUUUUGGGUAAUAGUGAGUGAUUGGACAGAAAAUGCCACAGCGCAGCACACAGCUGAUGGGUCAUUGGGUCAUUAAGAAAAAUAAUAUACAUGUCUAUUGUUAAUUGGGUGAAAAUAGGUAUAAAGAUAAAAGAACUGCUUGGUUUGGGACCAUUUUGUGUCUUCAAAGGCCAAAGUGAGCCACAAAGUGAGCCACAAGGCCUUUCUGUACCACCAGAGGAAAAUGAACCAGAUUGCAGUGAACUGAACCUGUGCAGCAAUUCUGGAGACACCUGCCAGGUUUUGUGAUAACAUCCUAAUAAACACAAGAAACAAGAUCCUAUCA
rnacentral:lncRNA from 1 species